AGGUUACUGCUAUCGGUGUUCGCCUAAGCCAUGCGAGUCAUAUGUUCUUCGUGAACAUGGCGUACUGCUCAGUAACACGUGGAUAACCUGCCCUUGGGACCGGGAUAACCCCGGGAAACUGGGGAUAA
rnacentral:rRNA from 1 species